rnacentral:pre_miRNA from 1 species
GUAUUACUCCCUCCGUCCCAAAAUUCUUGUCUUAGAUUUAUCUAGAUACGGAUGUAUCAUACAUCCGUAUCUAGAUAAAUCUAAGACAAGAAUUUUGGGGCGGAGGAAGUAUUUC